GAGUUUGAUCAUGGCUCAGGAUGAACGCUAGCGGCAGGCUUAACACAUGCAAGUCGAGGGGUAUAGUUCUUCGGAAUUAGAGACCGGCGCACGGGUGCGUAACGCGUAUGCAAUCUACCUUUCACAGAGGGAUAGCCCAGAGAAAUUUGGAUUAAUACCUCAUAGUAUAACGACUCUGCAUGGAGGUGUUAUUAAAGUAACAACGGUGAAAGAUGAGCAUGCGUCCCAUUAGCUAGUUGGUAAGGUAACGGCUUACCAAGGCUACGAUGGGUAGGGGUCCUGAGAGGGAGAUCCCCCACACUGGUACUGAGACACGGACCAGACUCCUACGGGAGGCAGCAGUGAGGAAUAUUGGACAAUGGGCGCAAGCCUGAUCCAGCCAUGCCGCGUGCAGGAUGACGGUCCUAUGGAUUGUAAACUGCUUUUGCACAGGAAGAAACAACGCUACGUGUAGCGUCUUGACGGUACUGUGAGAAUAAGGAUCGGCUAACUCCGUGCCAGCAGCCGCGGUAAUACGGAGGAUCCAAGCGUUAUCCGGAAUCAUU
rnacentral:rRNA from 1 species